GGAUGUUAAGGCAAUCUAGCUACAACAGUUGCCACCCUGUUGAUUACCUGGGUUGGUACUGCAGAUCUGGCGGUGAGGCAGGUGUCAUCUUUCUCCAUCAGUGUCCCAUGUGUGUUUUUCUCUUUGGAAGCUGUGUGCUUGAUAUAAAAGCAUGACUCUCCCAAUAGAGGAACACUGUUCCUCUGUGAAGGGUAUAUGAGUAGCUGCGCUUCCCUGCUAGAACCUCCAAACAAGCUCUCCAGGAACAGGAGACUGAGAUGGAUGAGGACUGAGUAGAAAAUAAAUAAGAAAGAAGAUAGACAUACGUGAUUCUUUUUUGUUU
ensembl:misc_RNA 7SK 7SK RNA